GGGAGGGAGGCAGGGGAGGGGCCCUCAGCCUGGACACUAGUCCGGGCCUCUCCACGGAGGUGGGCAGGCUCGGGGCUCCGAAGGCGCGUGCUGCUCCCCAGGGCCACGACCUGCCCUGCCCGACAGACCGGGGUCAGGGCUGCAAGUCAAGGCCAGCCGGGAGGAGGCUGCCGGGAGGCUCACUCACCAGGCAAGGCGACUGGCCCGGCUCAGGUAGAGUAGGGUGGGCGGCAGGGAGACAGGAAGGAGCGGGAGGCUUGGGGCAGGCCCUGCGGGGAGUGGGCCCAGCCCCGCUGCCCUGCCCUCGGCCUCUGUCAGUGCCAGCCAGGAAACUGCAGCGAGCUUCCAGGGCUGGUGUUUAUCCCAGCAGGACAAGGCUCCACCCGCACCUCCAUGACCGGCAGCGUGGGGCGCACAGUGGGUGGCAAUGAAGACCGAACUGCCACUCCCCUCAGCUCGGCUGGGACCACAGGGACCAAAGGCCACCACGGCCCCUCCUCUAAGACCCCCCCACCCUUCCACCCUAAGGAGAAACCGCCCCUUCCCGUUCAGAGAGCCUGUUGCUGAAGGGUCUUGCCUUCAGCUGGGUUUAGAGUGCAACAGCAGCAGUCCCAAGGGUCUGGUUGUAGAGCAUAGCACCCUGAGCUCCUGAGCUGGAGCAGAUGUCAGCCAGCCACAGACGCAGCCUCCCGUGAGCCAGGGAGCCGCCUGGUUGCUGGCAGGGCAGUGGCUGGCAGCAGGAGGCCCUGGUUCCCCAGCAACACUGAGGCCACCGGACAGACUGUGCCCGAGGCCUGGACAGGCUGGUGCACCUUCAGAAUUGUCAGGCAACGACAGAGGAAAAGAGGAGCGAGCUUUUCCUCCUGCUGUUUUUUUUUUUUUUUUCCGUUUUUGGUACCCGGAUAGAACUCGGGUCCUUGCACUUGCUCAGCAGGCGGCAAAACCACUGAGCUAAAUCCCCGGGCCACUUCGUGCUGUUUUGAAACACACAUCUAGUGGCCUUUUGCAGAUGUGGGUGUCUGGCUUUCUGCGCUGAGAGGCACCAAGGCCCCCAGUUCCUUGGUGCCUCUGACAGGCUCGGGUGCCCCUGCUCUCUGAGGCCUGUCGGCUCCCAGUGUUCUGGUGACGGGUAGUGUCCUCCCUGGCCCCUGGACGUGGACACAGAGAGCAGGACGGGCUGCUUAAUGCUGAUCCUCUCUAAGCCUAACCCUAAAGAGAACCUGAGCUGUGGACGUCAGACGCAGGCGGCCGGAGAGCUGGGUGGUGAGUGACUAAACUGAGGACUGCCUCUGUUCUGGUGCCCGCUCAGCAAUGCUUUGCACUAUGUAGUCCGCACACUGCCUUGGGUUCUCCGCUGGCGGGGAAGAUGGUGAGGAAGGUGACAGCCCCCUGGGACCCCCACCCUCCCCCAUCCACUUCCUGCACACCAUGUGCUUGGACACGAGUUGGGGCUACAGGCCCAGGCCAGCGGCUUCGUCUUGGCUCUUCACCCUGACUCCUCGGCCACUCCAUUAGCUGCCACUCCCAUGGGCCACCGGACAAACUCUCACUGGCCCUGACACCAGUCCCUAAAAUCAGCGGCGGUUUCUCAGAGGCAUCGUCCACAGCUGCCGGGGUUCCUCCUGCCAGGCUGUCGGUGGGCCCAUCUGUCUGCCGCGCCAGACUACAGCAGGUCGCUGCUCAUGCUCAGCUCGGCCUCGUCCGUUGCAGCUUGGAUGAACAGGGCCUUCCCCUGCCAACAGCGCUCUCUCUGCGGGGCCUCAGGGUCGACUGCAGAUCAGAGGAGGUGCCUGGGCUGGCACAGUGCGUGCCUCACCUACCUUGGGGUCCCCCUCCACUGACAGAAGCUGGAGGACGUCCAGCCAACCUUCCCGGGACCUUCCUCGGAGCUGUCUGCGGCUCCCAGAGCUCGGGUGGAAGCAGAAGCCAUGGAGCCUGGGCUGGUGGGCGGCCUGGCUCAGAAGGUGCCUGGGUUUUCGUAGAUGGCACAUUCCAUGGCUGAGCCCCUCAUCCUGGCUGGAUAGCACCGGGCCCUGCUGUGUGAAGCCAGCUGGGCAGUGUCCCCUGGGCUCAGCCCAUGCUGCCAGGGCAGGAGCGCAGGAGAGCUGCCCGAGGGAGGAGUCAUCGCCUUCCCUUUAGGAAGACGUGCGGUUCAGCCUUCAGUAACUUGCCCAAAGGCGCAUGCUCUGAAAACACCCACGCUCAUUUCAUGACUCGCGACCACUGAAUUCCAUCCCUACCAGAACGGCAGUGACACCGACAACGCUGGGAUAUUUCUGGAGCAGAAGACAGUCUGGCCCAGCGUCAACAGCUGCUGAAGCCAAGCGAUGUACGAGGCAGCUCAUGGUCUCCGUUCUCUGUGUGGGCAUGUUUGAAAUGUUCCCUAAAAGUCAGUGGCCUCCGUAUGCCUGGACUUGUUUCUCAUCCUAGCUUACAAUUUGCCAAGGGCUGGAUGGUGAGCAUACGUGACGUCGGGGCCUCCUUGCUGCGGAGCUGGCAGUGGGAACAGGGAAUAAAAUCCGGGAAACUGAA